GGAAUUAUAAUGCGUGUUUCAAAUGUAAUUCGGAAGCGACGCGAGCGUCGUAUAAAAAAUUCAAUUGAGAUAAAAACUGCAAACAGAAUGCUUAAUAUCUCUGGAAUAAAUGAUAGCUCAUUUGAUGGAGAUAUGUAGGUGAUGUGUUUAAAACUUUUUUUUAAAAAAACAAUUGUUAUCAAUAUUUUAUAAAUAAAAAUUUAUAAUUAUUUCUCAAUAAGUACAGUAAUAAUUAAUAAAGUGUAAUUUAGUGUUAAUACAAUACUUUUGUAUGUUAGUUUGCUUUGGCACAAAGAAUUUCUCAUAGCGAACACAUUCGUGUUUAGAAAGAAACAUGCACUGUUCUCUUCCAUAUUCAGAACACAAAGAGCACCUGUUUCACCCAGAAAUUAUCAUGGACGAAUUUGAAAGAAUGAACAUAAUUACCAAAGAAGCAGCAUUAGAUAGGCAAGUUAUUCAAAAGUUAUAUCCCGGUAUAGAUAUUCCAUCUGCUUUAAUAUAAUUUCAUAAGAGCACUACCAGAAGAGGGGUGUUGAUUGUUAUUGUCAGUGUAAAUUUAACGAAAAGUUA